AACCGCCGUAUACGGAACCGUACGUACGGUGGUGUGAGAGGUCGGGGGCCGUGAGGCCCCCUCCUACUCGAU
rnacentral:ncRNA from 2 species